rnacentral:rRNA from 1 species
GGGGCAGUGCCGGCGCAAUACAUGCAGUCGAACGGUGAACCUUGGAGCUUGCUCUAAGGGGAUCAGUGGCGAACGGGUGAGUAACACGUGAGUAACCUGCCCCGGACUCUGGAAUAAGCGCUGGAAACGGCGUCUAAUACCGGAUACGAGACGCAACCGCAUGGUUAGUGUCUGGAAAGUUUUUCGGUCUGGGAUGGACUCGCGGCCUAUCAGCUUGUUGGUGAGGUAAUGGCUCAGCAGGGCGACGACGGGUAGCCGGCCUGAGAGGGCGACCGGCCUAACUGGGACUGAGACACGGCCCAGACUAAUACGGGAGGCAGCAGUGGGGAAUAUUGCACAAUGGGCGAAAGCCUGAUGCAGCGACGCCGCGAGAGGGAUGACGGCCUUCGGGUUGUAAACCUCUUUCAGCAGGGAAGAAGCGAAAGUGACGGUACCUGCAGAAGAAGCACCGGCUAACUACGUGCCAGCAGGGGGGGGUAAUACGUAGGGUGCGAGCGUUGUCCGGAAUUAUUGGGCGUAAAGAGCUUGUAGGCGGUUUGUCGCGUCUGCUGUGAAAAUCCGGGGCUCAACCCCGGACUUGCAGUGGGUACGGGCAGACUAGAGUGUGGUAGGGGAGACUGGAAUUCCUGGUGUAGCGGUGAAAUGCGCAGAUAUCAGGAGGAACACCGAUGGCGAAGGCGGGUCUCUGGGCCACUACUGACGCUGAGAAGCGAAAGCAUGGGGAGCGAACAGGAUUAGAUACCCUGGUAGUCCAUGCCGUAAACGUUGGGCGCUAGGUGUGGGACUCAUUCCACGAGUUCCGUGCCGCAGCUAACGCAUUAAGCGCCCUCGCCUGGGGAGUACGGCCGCAAGGCUAAAACUCAAAGAAUUGACGGGGCCCGCCACAGCGGCGGAGCAUGCGGAUUAAUUCGAUGCAACGCGAAGAACUUAACCAAGGGCUUGACAAUAUACCGGGAACACUCAGAAGAUGGGUGCCCCUUUGGUCGGAAUAACAGGUGGUGCAUGGUUGUCGUCAGCUCGGUGUCGUGGAGAUGUGGGUAAGUCCGGCAACGAGGCCAACCCCUCGUUCUAUGGUGCCACGCCGGUAUGGUGGGGACUCAAAGAAACUGCGGGUCAACUCGAGGAAGGUGGAUUACGUCAAUACAUGCCUUAGGCUUGCCUUCACCGCCAUGCGCUCCAAUGCGUCCAAGGCUCGAAUUCGUAAGGGUGAGCAAAUUCCCAAAACCG